rnacentral:tRNA from 1 species
CAAAGGAUAGUUUAAUAAAAAUUCCGGUUUUGGGGAUCGGUAAUGAAGGUGUAAGUCUUUCUUCUUUGA